GCCAGGCGGCGGGAGAAGAGGCCAUGGGCGCGCGGGUCGGGGCGCUGCUGCUGGCGCAGCUGUUGGCGCGAGUGGAAAUCGCGAGGCCGGAGUUGCAGGAUAAGGACCUGCUGUUUCCAGGUUUCGAGAACUCGUCGUUGCUCACAUGUAACUGAUGGGCCCCUGGCGGGAGGGGCGGCCGCGUGGGGCGGGUGCCCGGCGAGCC